AGUACAGUACAGUAAUUUGCUGCCCUGCUCUGACCAAGUGGCUGAGAUCAGUUAAAGUUAAUAUCUUAUCACAGCCUGCUUGGAUCAGCGUAUUGUGGCAUAUGUUCAUCAAACUAGGA
rnacentral:precursor_RNA from 9 species